ACUCAAAAUAUAUUACGUAAAAGUGGAGUCAAUGCCUUCUUUUUUGUCUUUCUCAAUUUUAAUCAAAAAGGCAUCCACAAAAUCAUCGCCGUCUUCACUUGGGACA
rfam:Caenorhabditis elegans chromosome V